AUGGAAGCUAUUUUCUUGGUACGACAACUUAUGGAGAGAUAUAGGGAGCAUAAGAAGGACUUGCAUAUGGUGUUCAUUGACUUGGAGAAGGCCUAUGAUAAGAUACCGCGGAAUGUCAUGUGGUGGGCCUUGGAGAAACACAAAGUCCCAGCAAAGUACAUUACCCUCAUCAAGGACAUGUACAAUAAUGUUGUGACAAGUGUUCGAACAAGUGAUGUCAACACCGAUGACUUCCCGAUUAAGAUAGGACUGCAUCAGGGGUCAGCUUGGAGCCCUUAUCUUUUUGCAUUGGUGAUGGAUGAGGUCACAAGGGGUAUACAAGGAGAUAUCCCAUGGUGUAUGCUCUUUGCGGAUGAUGUGGUGCUAGUUGACGAUAGUCGGAUGGGGGUAAAUAGGAAGUUAGAGUUAUGGAGACAAACCUUGGAAUCGAAAGGGUUUAGGCUUAGUAGAACUAAAACCGAGUACAUGAUGUGCGGUUUCAGUACUACUAGCUGUGAGGAGGAGGAGGUUAGCCUUGAUGGCCAGGUGGUACCUCGGAAGGACACCUUUCGGUAUUUGGGGUCAAUCUUGCAGGAGGAUGGGGGUAUUGAUGAAGAUGUGAACCAUCGAAUCAAAGCCGGAUGGAUGAAGUGGCGCCAAGCUUCUGGCAUUCUCUAUGACAAGAGAGUGCCACAAAAGCUAAAAGGCAAGUUCUACAGGACGGCGGUUCGACCCGCAAUGUUGUAUGGCGCGGAGUGUUGGCCGACUAAAAGGCGACAUGUUCAACAGUUAGGUGUGGCGGAGAUGCGUAUGUUGAGAUGGAUGUGUGGCCACACAAGGAAGGAUCGAGUCCGGAAUGAUGAUAUACGAGAUAGAGUUGGCGUAGCACCAAUUGAGGAGAAGCUUGUCCAACAUCGUUUGAGAUGGUUUGGGCAUAUUCAGCGCAGGCCUCCACAAGCUCCACUGCAUAGCGGAUGGCUAAAGCGUGCGGAGAAUGUCAAGAGAGGGCGGGGUCAACCGAUUUUGACAUGGGAGGAGUCCGUUAAGAGAGACCUGAAGGAUUAG
rnacentral:rRNA from 1 species